rnacentral:rRNA from 1 species
AUUGAACGCUGGCGGCAGGCCCAACACAUGCAAGUCGAGCGGAUGAAGGGAGCUUGCUCCUGGAUUCAGCGGCGGACGGGUGAGUAAUGCCUAGGAAUCUGCCUGGUAGUGGGGGAUAACGUCCGGAAACGGGCGCUAAUACCGCAUACGUCCUGAGGGAGAAAGUGGGGGAUCUUCGGACCUCACGCUAUCAGAUGAGCCUAGGUCGGAUUAGCUAGUUGGUGGGGUAAAGGCCUACCAAGGCGACGAUCCGUAACUGGUCUGAGAGGAUGAUCAGUCACACUGGAACUGAGACACGGUCCAGACUCCUACGGGAGGCAGCAGUGGGGAAUAUUGGACGAUGGGCGAAAGCCUGAUCCAGCCAUGCCGCGUGUGUGAAGAAGGUCUUCGGAUUGUAAAGCACUUUAAGUUGGGAGGAAGGGCAGUAAGUUAAUACCUUGCUGUUUUGACGUUACCAACAGAAUAAGCACCGGCUAACUUCGUG